GGUAUCUCCUCCACUGGUUCUGCAUCGCUUCCCAGCGGCUCCACCUCCUCCUCGUCGCAGUCCUCGGCAUCGCUCUCUUCGUCAUCGGAGAAGCCUAAAGCUCUUUUCUUUGGCUUUUUCUUGCCAGGCUAUAUGCAGCUUAUGCAAUCGGCCAUAUCGGACAUAAGCCGGACACAGAGGCCUUUCAACGCCUUUCAACUGCAGCUCUCGACUGGUGAUCGGAUCGGAUCGGAGUGGAUGCUGAUGGUGAUGCCGGGGCUUAGCUCUCGACUCUGUCUCUCGCAAUUAAAUGCAAAUUGACAUCCGCGGAGUCCAACAAAAGAGCCAAAGCUUAUCCAGGCUUGUAGUGUUGCAUGUGGCACAUGUAUUGUAGCGUAGCUGUUCCUUGGCCCCAGACCCAGACACGCCUUUUGGCUCUGUCUUUCGUCUUUCGCCUGACUUUGGCUCUGUCUCGGGCCUUUCGAUGCUCGAUUGAGAUUUUUGCCGUUUUGCUUUUAGCAUUUCUUGGCUUUUGGCGAGUGAAAGUGAUAUAUGGCGCAUGACUCAGGCUCCGUCCACGGCCACGGCCACAGCUCGACUCCCAUAAGUAACCCGAACCCAAGCCCCAACCCGUACCCAAGUCAUAUGCAUAAAAUAAUAAUUAAGCGCCAUUUAUGCGGCCAACCAUCAGCAGAAGAUAUGGCCAAAAGGGCGCAGCAGCCGCCAACAACCGAAGAAACACCGAAACCAAACUCAAAAUCAAUUGACAAGUUUCAUGGACACAGAGAAAUUCACCGAGGAAGUGUCGUCGUGGGAGUAAUAUCACCAUAGGGACAGAAAGAAAUCAUUCGAAAUUAGUGAAGCUAAGAUUCUUGGGUACCAAUCGCCCCCCACCAAGGGAAUGAUAUUAUUAUAAAUAUUGAAAAGAAAUCCUAAUUCCUGCUUUCUGUUUUAAAACAAGUACAAUUUAUAUUCCCUUACAAUGAAUUAUACCAAUAAAUCAACAGAAUUUUGAACUCAA